UCGGGCGUGGUGCACGGCGCACACCCGCUCUUCUUAUGAGAACGCGCCUCUUCGGUCACAGCGGGAGCCUGGUUUCGACUCCCAGCGUCCGAA